rnacentral:rRNA from 1 species
UACGAAGGGGGCUAGCGUUGCUCGGAAUCACUGGGCGUAAAGCGCACGUAGGCGGACUCUUAAGUCGGUGGUGAAAUCCUGGAGCUCAACUCCAGAACUGCCUUCGAUACUGAGAGUCUCGAGUCCGGGAGAGGUGAGUGGAACUGCGAGUGUAGAGGUGAAAUUCGUAGAUAUUCGCAAGAACACCAGUGGCGAAGGCGGCUCACUGGCUCGUAUCUGACGCUCAGGCGCGACAGCGUGGGGAUCGAAACAGG